GACGAAGGGGGCUAGCGUUGUUCGGAAUUACUGGGCGUAAAGCGAGUGUAGGUGGUUGUCCAAGUUGGAUGUGAAAGCCUUGAGCUCAACUCAAGAAAUGCAUUCAGGACUGGGCGGCUAGAGGACCGGAGAGGAUAGUGGAAUUCCUGGUGUAGCGGUGAAAUGCGCAGAUAUCAGGAAGAACACCCGUGGCGAAGGCGGCUCUCUGGGACGGUACUGACGCUGAGGAGCGAAAGCGUGGGGAGCGAACAGG
rnacentral:rRNA from 1 species